rnacentral:rRNA from 1 species
AGAGUUUGAUCAUGGCUCAGGAUGAACGCUGGCGGUCUGCUUAACACAUGCAAGUCGAACGGAACUCUUCGGAGUUCAGUGGCGGACGGGUGAGUAACGCGUGAGAAUCUGCCUUUUGGUCGGGGACAACCACUGGAAACGGUGGCUAAUACCGGAUAAGCCUGCGGGUAAAAGAUUAAUUGCCAAGAGAGGAGCUCGCGUCUGAUUAGCUAGUUGGUGAGGUAAAGGCUCACCAAGGCGGCGAUCAGUAGCUGGUCUGAGAGGAUGAUCAGCCACACUGGGACUGAGACACGGCCCAGACUCCUACGGGAGGCAGCAGUGGGGAAUUUUCCGCAAUGGGCGAAAGCCUGACGGAGCAAGACCGCGUGAGGGAGGAAGGCUCUUGGGUUGUAAACCUCUUUUGUCAGGGAAGAACACAAUGACGGUACCUGAAGAAUCAGCAUCGGCUAACUCCGUGCCAGCAGCCGCGGUAAUACGGAGGAUGCAAGCGUUAUCCGGAAUUAUUGGGCGUAAAGCGUCCGCAGGUGGCACUUCAAGUCUGCUGUCAAAGACCGGGGCUUAACCCUGGAAAGGCAGUGGAAACUGAAGCGCUAGAGUGUGGUAGGGGUAGAGGGAAUUCCCGGUGUAGCGGUGAAAUGCGUAGAGAUCGGGAAGAACAUCGGUGGCGAAAGCGCUCUACUGGACCACAACUGACACUCAGGGACGAAAGCUAGGGGAGCGAAUGGGAUUAGAUACCCCCGUAGUCC